rnacentral:pre_miRNA from 1 species
GGAAGUUAAGAAACUAUUUCUUAACUUUUAACUAAAAAAGCUAAGAACCGGUUCUUAAAUAAGGAUUUUAAGAACCGAUUCUUAGUUUUUUUAGUUAAAAGUUAAGAAACAGUUUCUUAACUUCC